rnacentral:rRNA from 1 species
CCUACGGGACGCACCAGUAGGGAAUCUUCCGCAAUGGACGAAAGUCUGACGGAGCAACGCCGCGUGAGUGAUGAAGGCUUUCGGGUCGUAAAACUCUGUUGUUAGGGAAGAACAAGUGCUAGUUGAAUAAGCUGGCACCUUGACGGUACCUAACCAGAAAGCCACGGCUAACUACGUGCCAGCAGCCGCGGUAAUAUGUAGGUGGCAAGCGUUAUCCGGAAUUACCGGGCGUAAAGCGCGCGCAGGUGUUUCUUAAGUCUGAUGUGAAAGCCCACGGCUCAACCGUGGAGGGUCAUUGGAAACUGGGAGACUUGAGUGCAGAAGAGGAAAGUGGAAUUCCAUGUGUAGCGGUGAAAUGCGUAGAGAUAUGGAGGAACACCAGUGGCGAAGGCGACUUUCUGGUCUGUAACUGACACUGAGGCGCGAAAGCGUGGGGAGCAAACAGGAUUAGAUACCCUGGUAGUC